UUCAAGGAAUAUGUUUGGUUAAAAGCGUCCGCAUGAAGACCGUGUAUAUUUCAUAUUAGGUUAGUAGGGAGGCGGGUCUUAUUUCAUACACGGUUAGUAGUGGUGUUACGUCUCUGUAUAUUCCAUAUUAGGUAAGAAGAUAGGCUGGGCUUAUGUCAUACACGGUUAGUAUUGGUGUUACGUCCUUUUAUAAAAACAAAACGGUACUGAGAAAAAAUCUUAAAAGUUUCAACAGACGAAGAAAUUGAUGAUUAAGAUGGAAAUAAAUUCAUAAAACACAUUAAAACC
rnacentral:lncRNA from 1 species